GUGAGAAUGAGCAACCCCAGACCAUCCAGGCAGCCCUGAGUCAGCAUCCAGCCCUGCCUCUGCAUGCAGAGAAGUGGUUUUCUCAAGGUGAGCCAGGCCAGAGACACCGGCCCCAGGCCAGAGGCUUACCUGUAUUUUGGGAGGCUGACGCAGCUGCCUGGGGAACGCGGCCGACGAGGAGGACGUGACUGAGCACGCGGGCAAGUGGGUGCAAGGUGGCAAAGCUGUCGGAGAAGCUAGGGAGACACCUGUCGGGCUGGGCCACCUGGCAGAACAGCGCUCUGCAGCAGCAUCCUACAGAGAAGCCCCCAGAUGCCGCCAGCAGAGCCG
ensembl:lincRNA